GAGCUCCGCUGCUUCCAGACCGUCACUUGCCACCAGGCGGUGGUGACCAAUCUGGAGGAUGCGCACGAGCAGAUCGACACCGCCAUCGCGACGGCGCUGCGGGAGAGCAAGCCUGUGUACCUCAGCAUCAGCUGCAAUCUCCCAGGGCUGCCUCACCCCACGUUUAGCCGCGACCCCGUCCCCUUCUUCCUCGCCCCCAGGUUGAGUAACAAGAUGGGUCUGGAGGCUGCGGUGGAGGCCACUGUCGAGUUCCUGAACAAGGCGGUGAAGCCGGUGCUCGUUGGCGGCCCCAAGCUGCGUGUGGCAAAGGCAGGGAAGGCCUUCGUCGACCUUGUUGAUGCCAGUGGCUACGCCUACGCGGUGAUGCCGUCGGCCAAGGGGCUCGUGCCAGAGACGCACCCCCACUUCAUCGGCACCUACUGGGGUGCCGUCAGCACGGCCUUCUGUGCCGAGAUCGUCGAGUCGGCCGACGCCU
rnacentral:misc_RNA from 1 species